UACGUAGGUGGCAAGCGUUAUCCGGAAUUAUUGGGCGUAAAGAGGGAGCAGGCGGCUAUAAAGGUCUGUGGUGAAAGACUGAAGCUCAACUUCAGUAAGCCAUGGAAACCAAAUAGCUAGAGUGCAUUAGAGGAUCGUGGAAUUCCAUGUGUAGCGGUGAAAUGCGUAGAUAUAUGGAGGAACACCAGUGGCGAAGGCGACGAUCUGGGAUGUAACAGACGCUGAGUCCCGAAAGCGUGGGGAGCAAAUAGGAUUAGAUACCCUAGUAGUCCACGCCGUAAACGAUGAGUACUAAGUGUUGGGAGUCAAAUCUCAGUGCUGCAGUUAACGCAAUAAGUACUCCGCCUGAGUAGUACGUUCGCAAGAAUGAA
rnacentral:rRNA from 1 species